UUUUUUUUUUUUUUUUCCCACCUCCUAGUAUGUACCCUAUCAUGAGCAACUAAGCGCUAUCCAAACGCAAAUAAAGAAUAAAGGUUUGCAUUAGUCACUGAAACAAUAAAUUAGAUUUACUGCUUAGCAUGGUUCAGUAUUCUAUAAGUCUGAAGACCAUGAGCUUAAAUUUUAUCUGUUUGAGGCAUAAACAGUAUCUGAUACUUUUUUGAGUUCUAUAAGCUGAGAAACUUGAGACACAAGAAGUGUCUUGACAUUUCUUCACAUUUUUUUUUUGGUUUACCAGAAUGUUUGUUACUUUGCAGUGAAAUAGUUUGACUUUGAAAUCAAAACUUUCUAUUUUGUGAUGCACACAUGUAUGUGUUCUAUAUUUGUAUUCUUCAGAUAUGUCUAUUUAUUGUCUUUUUUUUUAAAUUGCAUAAUUUUUUUUGAUUCAUUCAGUCCAUUGUAACAUUUUCUUUAGUCAUUAACCCUAACAGGUGAGUUAAAAUGGCUUACCUUUGAGUGUCAGAAUGCCAUUUCUAUUUGUUUUAUUUGAAUGGGAAAAUAUUUUAAACAUCGUAGCAUUUGUACUUUUUUUUGUUUUUCUUCAGUUAAAAGCUGAAAUUACUUUUUAAUGGGUUCUUUGUAUAUUACCAAUUCUUUGUUAAUUAACACCGAGAAAACUAUGAUAAGAAUUUUAAUUUUUUUUUUUAUAGUGUUUCUGAUUCCUCUUAUGAUUGUAAUGUUAAUGAAAUAACUUUACACACAGUUAUUUCAUCCUUUUUCAUUAUAAGAUAUACAACUGAUCUGUUAAUCCUAUGGUCAUUAUUUUACAAAUUACCUGAAUCUGAAUAAUAUAUAUAUAUAUAUAUUUAUUUUUUUUUCUAUGGGAUACAAUCAUACAAAGUUUUCUUUAUUUCAUCAACUGAACUUUGUAAUAGCAUUUACAAUUCCAGUCAUUUAUUGCUGUUGACAUAGUCCUGACAAAGUAACGUCCAUUUAAAUUUAAUUUAUUGCAUCAUUUAUUGUUGACUUUUUUUUUCUUACCACUGUUAUAUGUAAUGCAUUACAUCUAAAUACAUAACAUUUUUGUUGUUGUUGUGUACUGCUGAAUGAUAUAAGCCUGUCCAAUAUCAUUUAUUGGGAUGUACAUUUUCCAUAGUGCAUUUGAUAUGAUCAGUAGCAUCACACAGCCAAAUGUAUGGCUUAAUGCAGUAAGGGUUUGUUGAGACCACUGCCCUAUAUAACUUCGAAACAGUUCAAAGAAAAACUUCAUAAAGUCUAACUGUAAAAAUAUGUAUUAAAAUUCAUUCCUUUAAGUUGCUUUAUGUUAUGCUCACAUUCAACAUAAAUUUCAAAACUUUAAAGUUGUAGAUUUUUUUCUACAAAAUUUUAAUUUUUAGUUUUAGUUCUGGUUUGGUCCAUUACAUAAUUCAAAUACAUCCAAGACGAUUUUUUGUCUACUGACACACACGUAAUGCUUCAUUCUUGCCUAGAUUUGAACAGUUGUUCACAGCUACGUUUACUAUUUUGCAAUAUGGUAAUGUAUAUUUAAGUGGUGCAUAGAGGGUUUCCCAAGCCUUGAAAAAACAUGGAUGCGUUAUUCCCCCUUGCACAAUAUAGUGAACCAAACUUUCAAACCUUCAAAUGCCUAGAUUUGAUUCAUUUAGGUUUGAAUAAAAUUUCUUUGAUUUAUGUGUGAUUGAUCUUUUUUUUUUUCUAAGACCCAAUGAGGUUGAUAUUUGGGUAUAUUUAACUUUAUGUUGAUUUUGCUGUCCUGUGGUUCAGAUCUACAUGACAUUAAUUAUGUUUGUGUCCAUUGUCCACUAAAUCUAGUCUCUUUUUAUAUAUGUAUUUUUAGUUUCUUGUUAAGAAAUCCAAUGACCUGUUUGAUUAUAUCUAUUGCUUAAAAUAAAUUAUUUAUUUUAAAAGUAAUAAACUGUCACUUUUUUUUCUUUUCUAAUGCUUAUAAUGAAAAUUGACUAACAAAUUGUUACUAAUGAAAGUUAGCCUACUAAUUGCUUAUUUUCCAGGCUUGCAACUGUUUAAAAGGAAUAUAAUUAACUAUUAAUUAAUCAAACAAAAUGUUUUAUAGCUUACAAAAUGUAAUUUUUUUAUUCUGUGCCUUAAAUCAUGCCAUGGAGAAAUUUGGAGAAUGUUAAAAUAUAGGACAAAUAGGUAUUAUCAUAUCAAUAUUGGGCUACAUGUCAAAUGUUUGUCUGUGUUGCAGUGCUCCCUAGAAUAAAACUGCUGGUGUGUGAUGUACGAUUAGUAAAAAUGUGCUUUAUGUUAAUACUUUUUGUUGGACAAAAUAAAAAUAUAAAUUGAAAAC